rnacentral:rRNA from 1 species
AUGGUCCCGGAUCAGCGGGGACGCGGACUCCGGCGUCGAGCGUCGUCGGUCGGGGAGGCGUCCAGCGGAAGAUGGACUCGCUCCAGAGGAAGAUUGCUGGCGGCGGAGAACACUGGCCCGGCGCAGUCAGUCGAAGAUUCUCGAGGCGAUCGGCGGAGGGCGGAGGGUUUCAGUGCGAGGAAGAAGCGGGAGGCAGCGGGCAGCGAAAGGGUGCUGUCCGCGGAGGAAGUCGCCUUAGCCGCCCGGCCGCUCCCUCCCCAUGCUCCCUUCCCCAAAUCUGGCCAACAUGAUGACGUGGUGGCUUGGAGUGAAGAUCUCAUGAAGCUCGGAGAUGAAGAUACUAGCCUUCUGACCCUUAGAGCGGUCAGGGGCACUAAAUCCGUGAAAUCUGCAAUGAGCUUGGAUGAUAGAGACAUGAUCCUGGAUGUGGCCUGCUCUGUUGUGAAUGUAUCAGCUACCGAGCCUGAUGGAAAUGUGGUUGUAUACUGCACUGGCAUCAUCACCGAGUAUGAUGAGGUUGGUAAGUGCGCAAAAAUCUUGUCUUCUUCUAGCAUCAUGUGA